CUACGGGUGGCACCAGUGAGGAAUAUUGCACAAUGGGGGGAACCCUGAUGCAGCAACGCCGCGUGGAGGAUGACGCAUUUCGGUGUGUAAACUCCUUUUAUAUGUCAAGAAAAUGACGGUAGCAUAUGAAUAAGCACCGGCUAACUCCGUGCCAGCAGCCGCGGUAAUACGGAGGGUGCAAGCGUUACUCGGAAUCACUGGGCGUAAAGGACGCGUUGGCGGGCUUGUAAGUCAGGUGUGAAAUCCUACGGCUUAACUGUAGAACUGCACUUGAAACUACGAGGCUAGAGUAUGGGAGGGGGAGAUGGAAUUAGUGGUGUAGGGGUAAUAUCCGUAGAUAUCACUAGGAAUACCUAAAGCGAAGGCGAUCUCCUGGAACAUAACUGACGCUAAGGCGUGAAAGCGUGGGGAGCAAACAGGAUUAGAUACCCCAGUAGUC
rnacentral:rRNA from 1 species